UCGUAUUUUAUAUGGUGCGAUCGGACGUACAGUUUGCGGGCUAUACGUAUCGAAAAUACCCCGUCUGUCGACAAAACUCCGUCACCGUUCGCGCAAAUCUCGAUCGCCCGUCUCUGUGUUGUCCGCCGCCACUCUCGUUCUCCGACUUUUCUCUCGCCCAACGGUGUACUUACUCGAUUUCCGAUCCAAAACGAAAUCCUUGAUUCGCACCGCCGACUC